rnacentral:lncRNA from 14 species
ACUUGCCCACUGCAGUUUAACUUAGACAACUCUUUGCGUAGGACACUCGCGUGGCUGACCAUAAUCUGGUAGGUGCCCUUCUCUGGCCUUCUUCCAUUGGCCCUGUUGGUCUACUGUCACCAUGGCAACCAGUGGCAUGCCUGUUAUCCUCACCAGAUGGCCAGAUCGGUGAGGGUGGGGGAGUGCUUGCCCCAUUCCCAGAAUUCAUCACUACCUUGCGUGAUGGGAAGGAAAAGUCACUGUGGACCUACAGUCUUUGGAGAAGGUGAGUCAGAUUGCACUUGGCAGCUGCAGGGCCACAGACUCCUGCUAUCUCAACGAUGGUCUACAGCCCAGAACAGUAGCAUUUCUGGUACACCCUGGAGCCACCCUGUCCUUGGAAUCCUUAAUAAGCAUGUGGUGAUCAGUUCUGUCUUCAUUUCAGAGUUGCCGAUGGUUGGGAGAUUUAAGAUACCCAACACCCUGAGACAUGCCCUGGACCGACUAUAAACCAGAAUCCCUAACCAAACAGACGCACAGUUGUGCACAAUUACUGGGUGCAGUAUGAUAUCUUGGGACACAUACGCAGCAUGUGUUGGUGUUCUGGGUUGACUUUGAGCACCCUCAUUGAUCCCUAGUUGAUAGUGUGGACUUAGGAGGUGUGGUCAAGCUAAAGGAAGUAGGCCCCAAAGAGACGAGCUUUUAAAGUUAUACCUGGUCUCCAGCCCCUUCCCCACUCCUGAUCUUGUCUGCCUGAGGCAAGACGUGGCCUCUGUCACAUGCUCCAGUCAGUCACUGCCACAGGCUACGUUUUGCCUUUUCCUGAGCUCAGAAUCACCAAUCAAGGCUUCUGAGCUGAGACCCCUAAAAACAGGAGCCCAAAUGCAUCCUCCCUCCCUUGGGGCUUAUACCGGGUCAUUCCAUCACAAGAGUGAAAAUCUGAUUAGCCCAGCUGGUAGGUAACACUAAAGGAAAUCUCCGUCCUAGAACAAUAGAAGUCACCUCUCCCGCCCGACUCUCUCUCCGGACCUAUUAGCCUUCCUCUCUCAGACCUUUCUCCUCAUGGUCCUCCCAGCUUCUGAUAGCUAUGGUCUACUCUCUAUCCCAUGAGAUCCAUAUUUUAGCUUCGAUGCAUGGCUGAGAGCAUGCGGGCAUUCGUCCGUCUGUAGGCAACGUCUUCCGGUUUGGACGCUCUCGGGUGAUUCCAGGGCAUAGCUGGGCUGCGAACCAGACACGCCUAGGCAGCCACGCCCCCACAUAUCUGAGGUAU